rnacentral:misc_RNA from 1 species
GAUGAAGAACGCAGUGAAAUGCGAUAACUAGUGUGAAUUGCAGAAUUCCGUGAAUCAUCGAGUCUUUGAACGCACAUUGCGCCCCCUGGUAUUCCGGGGGGCAUGCCUGUCCGAGCGUCAUUGCUGCCCAUCAAGCACGGCUUGUGUGUUGGGUCGUCGUCCCCUCUCCGGGGGGGGGCGGGCCCCAAAGGCAGCGGCGGCACCGCGUCCGAUCCUCGAGCGUACGGGGCUUUGUCACCCGCUCUGUAGGCCCGGCCGGCGCUUGCCGAACGCAAAUCAAUCUUUUUCCAGGUUGACCUCGGAUCAGGUAGGGAUACCCGCUGAACUUAAGCAUAUCAAUAAGCGGAGGA